rnacentral:rRNA from 1 species
GAUGAACGCUGGCGGCGUGCCUAACACAUGCAAGUCGAGCGAGGGUUUGCUCAGUAUUGAGUAUUCUAAGUCUAGAAUGUUCAAUUCUGAGCAAAACCAAGCGGCGGACGGGUGAGUAACGCGUGGGUAACCUGCCCUAUACACAUGGAUAACAUACUGAAAAGUUUACUAAUACAUGAUAAUAUAUAUUUGUGGCAUCGCAGAUAUAUCAAAGUGUUAGCGGUAUAGGAUGGACCCGCGUCUGAUUAGCUAGUUGGUGAGAUAACUGCCCACCAAGGCGACGAUCAGUAGCCGACCUGAGAGGGUGAUCGGCCACAUUGGAACUGAGACACGGUCCAAACUCCUACGGGAGGCAGCAGUGGGGAAUAUUGCACAAUGGGCGAAAGCCUGAUGCAGCAACGCCGCGUGAACGAUGAAGGUCUUCGGAUCGUAAAGUUCUGUUGCAGGGGAAGAUAAUGACGGUACCCUGUGAGGAAGCCCCGGCUAACUACGUGCCAGCAGCCGCGGUAAUACGUAGGGGGCUAGCGUUAUCCGGAUUUACUGGGCGUAAAGGGUGCGUAGGUGGUCCUUCAAGUCGGUGGUUAAAGGCUACGGCUCAACCGUAGUAAGCCGCCGAAACUGGAGGACUUGAGUGCAGGAGAGGAAAGUGGAAUUCCCAGUGUAGCGGUGAAAUGCGUAGAUAUUGGGAGGAACACCAGUAGCGAAGGCGGCUUUCUGGACUGCAACUGACACUGAGGCACGAAAGCGUGGGUAGCAAACAGG